CACUGGAAUUGGCCCAGAGAGGGUGAAAGGCCCGUACGGGUGGAGUUUCAGACAAGUCAGGCAAUUCACCAGGUCGACCUUCGAGUCGGGUUGUUUGAGAAUGCAGCCCAAAGCGGGUGGUAAACUCCAUCCAAGGCUAAAUACUAGCACGAGUCCGAUAGCGAACAAGUACCGUGAGGGAAAGUUGAAAAGUACUUUGAAGAGAGAGUAAACAGUACGUGAAACCGCAUGCAGGUAAACGGACGGCGCCAAGCUGCGGGUCUGGAGAAUUCAGUUGGCUGGGAUGUGACGCGCCUGUCGUGUCUUUCGAUCAGAAUAGCAGUGAUAGUCCACUGGUAAACGGUGGGCCUGGUAGCAAUACUGGGUUAUGUGUACCGUGCGGAAGCCGGAGCAUACUAUCUAUCUGUUGGAUCGCCUAGUCGGUGCACUUUCUCUGUGACCAACACUACGACCGGUGGAAUUGCCAGUCUGCUGUAGCCAAGUCGUGUCUGGUGGGCCCUCGUGGCUAACUGGGUGCGAUCACACGCAAUUCAGUAAACGGCGUAGGGCGGCUCCUCGGAGAAGCCUUGCGUGUUAUCGGUGACUGGUUGUGAACGGGUGCUUGAUGGUGGGCAACUGCCGUCAGGUUAUCUGGUGGGCUAUGGUGGUAAUAAAAAUCUGUGCAACGCACCGGGGAUAGCGGCCCUCAAAUUCUGUGGUCUGCGCGCACGUUGUUCGCAGCGUAGGGAGUGCCCCUUGGGAACACUUGUCGACAAGUCUGGUCGUCGUGUCGCUCGCAAAAAGUGAGCCCGGCGAUGGCUUGGCGCUUGUUGGGCCUGGGGGUGUGUGCUUCCGCGUAGAUUGCAGUGGGUCUGAUAGUCAGUAGUGCUGCGGUAGGCUAGCCACCCGACCCGUCUUGAAACACGGACCAAGGAGUUUAACAUGUAUGCGAGUCAAAGGGUCCUACGAAACCCCAAGGCGCAGUGAAAGUGAAGCUUCGACUUGUCUCGGAGUGUGGUGAGAUCCUGCUGUUACUCGCAUCAGCCUUCGAUGUCAUCGGCAUCAGGCUUAAGAGCGGUAGGCGCAUCACCGGCCCGUCUCAUGAUGUGGUCAUUGGAUGUAUGCAGUCAUUGUCAUU
rnacentral:rRNA from 1 species